UACCAUGCAGUCGAGCGGGCGAGGUUGCUUCGGUACACUGAGCUAGCGGCGGACGGGUGAGUAAUGCUUAGGAAUCUGCCUAUUAGUGGGGGACAACAUUCCGAAAGGAAUGCUAAUACCGCAUACGCCCUACGGGGGAAAGCAGGGGAUCUUCGGACCUUGCGCUAAUAGAUGAGCCUAAGUCAGAUUAGCUAGUUGGUGGGGUAAAGGCCUACCAAGGCGACGAUCUGUAGCGGGUCUGAGAGGAUGAUCCGCCACACUGGGACUGAGACACGGCCCAGACUCCUACGGGAGGCAGCAGUGGGGAAUAUUGGACAAUGGGCGGAAGCCUGAUCCAGCCAUGCCGCGUGUGUGAAGAAGGCCUUUUGGUUGUAAAGCACUUUAAGCGAGGAGGAGGCUACUUGGAUUAAUACUCUAGGAUAGUGGACGUUACUCGCAGAAUAAGCACCGGCUAACUCUGUGCCAGCAGCCGCGGUAAUACAGAGGGUGCGAGCGUUAAUCGGAUUUACUGGGCGUAAAGCGUGCGUAGGCGGCUUCUUAAGUCGGAUGUGAAAUCCCUGAGCUUAACUUAGGAAUUGCAUUCGAUACUGGGAAGCUAGAGUAUGGGAGAGGAUGGUAGAAUUCCAGGUGUAGCGGUGAAAUGCGUAGAGAUCUGGAGGAAUACCGAUGGCGAAGGCAGCCAUCUGGCCUAAUACUGACGCUGAGGUACGAAAGCAUGGGGAGCAAACAGGAUUAGAUACCCUGGUAGUCCAUGCCGUAAACGAUGUCUACUAGCCGUUGGGGCCUUUGAGGCUUUAGUGGCGCAGCUAACGCGAUAAGUAGACCGCCUGGGGAGUACGGUCGCAAGACUAAAACUCAAAUGAAUUGACGGGGGCCCGCACAAGCGGUG
rnacentral:rRNA from 1 species